GCUCUUCCCAUCUCAAAUACUCCUGAACAAACUGUUGUCUGCCUGCCAAGAUCUCCUUAUCCUAGUGUGGGAAUGCUGGUCUCCAUAUGACUCAGCAACUCUUUGCUCCUACUGUGUACU